GGCCUGUUUAUGAGAUGAUCCAUCAGGUUGUCUCAGAGUCCCCAUCCAGCCCUUCAGCAACCGGAAGCGUUCCAGUUAUUAAUUGUUUAUCCUGCUGAAAGGCUGCUGUGUGUCAAGACCAGGCCUUUCUUUACUGCACCUGGAGUGAAAGCUGUUCCUUGGAAUAACAAAUCAGCUAAAAUUGGGAAAUCCAGACCUGGUAUUCAAAAGGGAAAAUUACCCUUCAUGCUAAAGGAUUAUUUUGAAAG